AGUGGCGAACGGGUGAGUAAUGCAUCGGAACGUGCCCAAGAGUGGGGGAUAGCCCGGCGAAAGCCGGAUUAAUACCGCAUACGAUCUAUGGAUGAAAGUGGGGGACCGCAAGGCCUCACGCUCCUGGAGCGGCCGAUGUCAGAUUAGGUAGUUGGUGGGGUAAAGGCUCACCAAGCCAACGAUCUGUAGCUGGUUUGAGAGAACGACCAGCCACACUGGGACUGAGACACGGCCCAGACUCCUACGGAGGCAGCAGUGGGGAAUUUUGGACAAUGGGCGCAAGCCUGAUCCAGCAAUGCCGCGUGCAGGAUGAAGGCCUUCGGGUUGUAAACCGCUUUUGUACGGAGCGAAAAGGCUUCUUCUAAUACAGGAGGCUCAUGACGGUACCGUAAGAAUAAGCACCGGCUAACUACGUGCCAGCAGCCGCGGUAAUACGUAGGGUGCAAGCGUUAAUCGGAAUUACUGGGCGUAAAGCGUGCGCAGGCGGUGAUGUAAGACAGAGGUGAAAUCCCCGGGCUCAACCUGGGAACUGCCUUUGUGACUGCAUCGCUAGAGUACGGUAGAGGGGGGUGGAAUUCCGCGUGUAGCAGUGAAAUGCGUAGAUAUGCGGAGGAACACCGAUGGCGAAGGCAGCCCCCUGGACCUGUACCGACGCUCAUGCACGAAAGCAUGGGGAGCAAACAGGAUUAGAUACCCUGGU
rnacentral:rRNA from 1 species